rnacentral:rRNA from 1 species
GAGUUUGAUCCUGGCUCAGGACGAACGCUGGCGGCGUGCUUAACACAUGCAAGUCGAACAGGAUAUACUUUGGAAGGCUUCGGCCGGAAGGGGUGUAUUCGAGUGGCGGACGGGUGAGAACGCGUGAACAAUCUGUCCCAGACAGGGGGAUAACACUUGGAAACAGGUGCUAAUACCCAUAAGACCACGGGAUCGCAUGUUCCCGAGGUAAAAGGAGCAAUCCGGUUUGGGGUGAGUCGCGUCCGAUUAGAUAGUUGGUGAGGUAACGGCCCACCAAGUCGACGAUCGGUAGCCGCCUGAGAGGGUGAUCGGCCACAUUGGAACUGAGAGACGGUCCAAACUCCUACGGGAGGCGCAGUGGGGAAUAUUGGGCAAUGGGCGAAAGCCUGACCCAGCAACGCCGCGUGAGUGAAAAGGCUUUCGGGUUGUAAAGCUCUGUUAUAGGGGACGAAGGAAGUGACGGUACCCUAUAGGAAGCCCCGGCUAACUACGUGCCAGCAGCCGCGGUAAUACGUAGGGGGCGAGCGUUGUCGGAAUGACUGGGCGUAAAGGGCGUGUAGGCGGCUAUUUAAGUCUGGAGUGAAAGUCCUCUUUCAAGGUGGGAAUUGCUUUGGAGACUGGAUGGCUUGAGUGCGGAAGAGGUAAGUGGAUUCCCAGUGUAGCGGUGAAAUGCGUAGAGAUUGGGAGGAACACCAGUGGCGAAGGCGAUUACUGGGCCGUAACUGACGCUGAGGCGCGAAAGCGUGGGGGAGCGAACAGGAUUAGAUCCCUGGUAGUCCACGCGGUAAACGAUGAAUGCUAGUGUUGCGGGUAUCGACCCCUGCAGGCCGGAGUAAACACAAUAAGCAUUCCGCCUGGGGAGUACGGCCGCAAGGUUGAAACU